rnacentral:rRNA from 1 species
GACGAACGCUGGCGGCGUGCUUAACACAUGCAAGUCGAACGGAAAGGCCUGCAGCUUGCUGCGGGUACUCGAGUGGCGAACGGGUGAGUAACACGUGGGUGAUCUGCCUUGCACUUCGGGAUAAGCUUGGGAAACUGGGUCUAAUACCGGAUAGGACAGCUGUUUAGUGUCAGUUGUGGAAAGUUUUUUCGGUGCAAGAUGAGCUCGCGGCCUAUCAGCUUGUUGGUGGGGUAAUGGCCUACCAAGGCGUCGACGGGUAGCCGGCCUGAGAGGGUGUACGGCCACAUUGGGACUGAGAUACGGCCCAGACUCCUACGGGAGGCAGCAGUGGGGAAUAUUGCACAAUGGGCGGAAGCCUGAUGCAGCGACGCCGCGUGGGGGAUGAAGGCCUUCGGGUUGUAAACUCCUUUCGACAGGGACGAAGCUUUUGUGACGGUACCUGUAUAAGAAGCACCGGCUAACUACGUGCCAGCAGCCGCGGUAAUACGUAGGGUGCGAGCGUUGUCCGGAAUUACUGGGCGUAAAGAGCUCGUAGGUGGUUUGUCGCGUCGUCUGUGAAUUCCGGGGCUUAACUCCGGGCGUGCAGGCGAUACGGGCUGACUUGAGUGCUGUAGGGGAGACUGGAAUUCCUGGUGUAGCGGUGAAAUGCGCAGAUAUCAGGAGGAACACCGAUGGCGAAGGCAGGUCUCUGGGCAGUAACUGACGCUGAGGAGCGAAAGCACGGGUAGCGAACAGGAUUAGAUACCCUGGUAGUCCAUGCCGUAAACGGUGGGCGCUAGGUGUAGGGGGCUUCCACGUCUUCUGUGCCGUAGCUAACGCAUUAAGCGCCCCGCCUGGGGAGUACGGCCGCAAGGCUAAAACUCAAAGGAAUUGACGGGGGCCCGCACAAGCGGCGGAGCAUGUGGAUUAAUUCGAUGCAACGCGAAGAACCUUACCUGGGCUUGACAUAUACAAGACAGGCGUAGAGAUACGUCCUCCCUUGUGGUUUGUAUACAGGUGGUGCAUGGUUGUCGUCAGCUCGUGUCGUGAGAUGUUGGGUUAAGUCCCGCAACGAGCGCAACCCCUAUUGUUAGUUGCCAUCAUUAAGUUGGGCACUCUAGCGAGACUGCCGGUAAUAAACCGGAGGAAGGUGGGGAUGACGUCAAAUCAUCAUGCCCCUUAUGACCUGGGCUACACACGUGCUACAACGGUUGGUACAACGAGUCGCAAGCCGGUGACGGCAAGCUAAUCUCUUAAAGCCAAUCUCAGUUCGGAUUGUAGGCUGCAACUCGCCUACAUGAAGUCGGAAUCGCUAGUAAUCGCGGAUCAGCACGCCGCGGUGAAUACGUUCCCGGGCCU